AUGAUUGUAGCUGCAAAGUUCAAAUGUAUAGGGACUGACAAAAUGGCAUCGCUGACAGCAGAGGCUGCAGCUUCCUAUGGCUCCUCACUGAAAGCGUGUCUGGCUCUGAACACAGCAGGUCCACAGGUCACAACUCACUGUCCUGUGAUGGCAGCACGGCUGGUCGUGGUUGGUGAGUGCUCUGGAGGCUGGAAGUCCAAGAUCAAGGUGGCAGCAGGUUUGGUGAGGGCCUGCUUCCUGGUUCACAGAUGGAUUCUUCUUGCUGUGGCCCAUGUGGUGGGAAGGACAAGGCAGCCUCUGGGGCCUCUAUUAUGAUGACACAAAUCCCAUUCAGGAGGGUGGGUCCCUCAUGACCUCACCCCCUCCCAAGAGCCUCACCUCCUCAUACCAUUGCCUUGGGGGUUAAGUGUCAACAUAUGAAUUUCGAGGAGACACAAACUUUCAGACCAUAGCACAGGACCAUUGGAAGAGAGGGAUCCCGGGAGAUGAUCCCUGCAGAAAGGCAACACCAAAGCAGAAUAUGAUGCUCAAAGAGAAGCUUGCCAGAGGCCCGGGGUGGGAGGGUGAGCUGGGACCCACCAGAAGCUUGGGGAGGGAUAGAGAGACAGGGAGGGAUGGAGAGAUGGGGAGGGAUGGAGAGACAGGGAGAUGGGGGGCCAGACUGGGGCUGGGGGAACCCUAGGCACUCUGGAGGCCUAGGGUCAGGAGGGGUCAGGUUUGCCUCGCAGAGGGCUCCUUUAGAAAGCAUCCUGUGGUUGCUGGGUGCAAAAUGGACAAGAGGGAGGCUGGAGGCAGUGGCCAGCAGGGAGACAGUGGCACUUACAUGGAGACAGAUGAUGAAGGCCUGAUGAUGGUAAAGAAAUCACAUUAAUAGAAAUGGUAACAAUUAUUGAGUGCUUACUGUAUUCACUGCAUGUUGGAAGCAGAUACUCAGUGCCGCAAAGAAAAAUCAGCACUGAGACAAAGGAUUUUCAGCAAGGCAAUUUUUACUUCCUGGACUGCAGGAAGAAGGGUACUCUCACUAGCCAUUUUGCCAGAGAGUACAAUGAACAAAGGAAAACAGACACAUUUGUCCCUUCUGCAUUUGGGGUCGUGCGUACUGCUGUAUCUGGUCUCCAUUGGCUGGAGUCAGACCUCACAAUCUAAACUAAAACCCAGUUGGCUAACAACUUAAAACUUUUCUAAACAGGUAAAAGCAAUGGAGAGCUGGGACAUGCCUGUGAGCACGUCCAGCACAGACGCCUUGGUACCAGGACACAGAAUGUACUAGGUGCCUGUAAGCAUGGCAUGUCUCUACGCCGCGUAGGAUAGGGCUUAACUAAGAGCUAUUAGCACACUUAUGAUUGAUUCUUAACAAGAAGGGAAACUGUAAAGAGGAACUUUUCUACCUCCCACAGUGUAUUAACUCAUUUAAUGCUGUCAAUAACCUGAUACUGUUUUUCAUUUUGUUUUUGUUUUGUUUGAGACAGGGUCUCACUCUGUCGCUUGAACUGGAGUGCAAUGGCACGAUCUCAGCUCACUGCAACCUCUGCCUCCCAGGCUCAAGCAAUUCUCCUGCCUCAGCCUCCGGAGUAGCUGAGAUUACAGGCACAUGCCAUUAAUGCCAGCUAAUUUUUGUAUGAUUAGUAGAGACAGGGUUUCACCAUGUUGACCAGGCUAGUCUCGAACUCCUGACCUACGUACGAUUCACCCACCUCAGCCUCCCAGUCCGCGCCUGGCUCUGAUAUUGUUGUAUUGAAGGACAAAAUGAUUACGUGACUUGCCCAAAGCUACCCAAUGGUGGAGCAGGGUUGGACCCUAGGCGCCUGGCUCCACAGUCCACUGAGGUGAAGGGAGGGGCCUUGGGGACACCUUGGGUGGCCUGAAGGACACCAGUGCAUGCUGCCAGGCUUCUCUUCCCUUGGUCAUGCCUGCUGGCUGUCAGUUUCUACCCACCGAUUGACUCCAGGGCUUGUAUCCAGAGGCACACUUAGAAGGACCAGCCCUUUACUGAGGUCAAAGCCUCCUCCUCCAGCCCCCUAGAUUUACAGGGAAGGCCGUAUUUUAUAGAAGGGAUUGGGGCUGGCAGCCAUCUCUCUGUCAUGCCGACAACUGGCGGAUGAUUAAAUUUCUAUAGGUGUGAAGUGUAAAGUGCAAGUUCAUUUCCUCCAGGAGAGGAAAUCCUUGACACUUCAGCCAAAUGAUGAGUGGGAGCUCUAAAUCCCGGGAGGAGAAGGGGGAAUGUGAGCUAUGAGGGCAGCGGCACCACCGAGGGGCCACGUUGCUGCUGCAUCAGCACUUGGUCACCACCCAAAACAGACUCUUCCAAAAGGCCGCACAUGGGUGGAUGAGCAGACCCCUCACCCUCCCGCCCUUCUUGCGACUGUCAUCAACCCUCAGCCAAAUACAGUGACUUAGCCAAGGGGCCACGUUGGCUCCAAACAGUGAAGAGGAAGCCGCUGGGUUUUCCAGUAGGUAAGAAAUUCAAGGUGUAGCCAGGUGUGGUGGCUCAUGCCUGUAAUUCCAGCACUUUGAGAGGCUGAGGUGGGCAGAUCACCUGAGGUCGGGAGUUCAAGACCAGCCUGACCAAUAUGGAGAAACCCUGCCUCUACUAAAAAUACAAAAUUGUUUGAGUGUGUGCUGGUGCAUGCCUGUAAUCCCAGCUACUCAGGCUGAGGCAGGAGAAUCGCUUGAACCCAGGAGGUGGAGGUUGCAGUGAACCGAGAUUGCUUCAUCGCACUCCAACCUGGGCAACAAGAGCCAAACUCCAUCUCAAGAAAAAGAAAGAAAAAAGAAAGGGAGGGAGGGAGGGAGGGAGGGAGGGAGGGAGGGAGGAAGGAAGGAAGGAAGGAAGGAAGGAAGGAAGGAAGGAAGGAAGGAAGGAAGGAAAGAAAGGAGAAAUUCAAGGUGUUAAUGGCAAGCCAAUCUCACAUGGAAAUAUUUGGAGAAAAAAUAUCAAUAUUAAGAACUUGUUGGCCAGGUGCAGUGGCUCACACCUGUAAUCCUUUGCUUUGGGAGGUCAAGGCAGAAGGGUCCCUUGAGGCUAGGAGUUUGAGACCAGCCUGGGCAACAAAGUGAGACCCCCAUGUGUACCCUCACAAAAAAAAUUGUUUUAAAAAUAAGCUGGGCAUGACAUGCAUGUGGUCUUAGAUACUUGGGAGGGAAGUGAGAGAAUCCCCGGAGUCCUGGAUUUUGAGGCUGCAGUGAGCCGUGAUCGCGCCACUGCACUCCAGCUUGGGCAACAGAGAGAGACCCUGCGUCAAGAACAACAAACAAAGAACUUGUCAAUGUGUAUGUAUUGGAAAUGUUUUAAAAAUGGACCUUCAUGUAGUAUUAUAUACAGUAUUCCUAACUUUAGUAAGAAGUCAUGGUUUUUUUGGACCACAAACCAUUGU
rnacentral:lncRNA from 1 species